AUUACUGUUGUUGAUAAUGGUGCUAUCAAUUUCUUUUUGCCUCAUAGGCCGGACAACUUGGCUUUCACUGCUUUGACCUUCCGUAGCACCAACCACUUGAGUUAUAUCAUGGGACUGGGUUGAUCCCUGAUACCAGAAAGCUGAAGAUGCCGAAUUUGUAGUAAUUUCUAUAUUCAAUAACGUACACAAGUUAAAAAUUUCAUUCGCCGAUCAUUUGAAAAAUAAAAGAGAAAAAUUCUCAUACCCGACGCAGGAAUGUCAAUGGACCGAGGUCUCUUACUCUUUACUGCUGGUUGAGCAAGGUUUAAGGGAGCAGAAGCUACGAAAGGCUCUAUUUCCCAUGGAGAAACCCUCUCAGGCCUUUGAACAGUAGCCGGCUCAUCCCAUUGAAU
rnacentral:lncRNA from 1 species